rnacentral:rRNA from 1 species
GCUAAGAAUAUUCCGCAAUGGACGAAAGUCUGACGGAGCGACGCCGCGUGGAUGAUGAAGGCCGAAAGGUUGUAAAGUCCUUUUGCUGGGGAAGAAUAAGCAUGGGAGGUAAUGCCCGUGCGAUGACAUGAACCGGCGAAUAAGCCCCGGCUAACUACGUGCCAGCAGCCGCGGUAACACGUAGGGGGCGAGCGUUGUUCGGAAUUACUGGGCGUAAAGGGCAUGUAGGCGGCUUGAUAAGCCUGGCGUGAAAGUCACCGGCUCAACCGGUGGAUUGCGUUGGGAACUGUUGGGCUUGAAUCACGGAGAGGGAGCUAGAAUUCCAGGUGUAGGGGUGAAAUCUGUAGAGAUCUGGAAGAAUACCAGUGGCGAAGGCGAGCUCCUGGCCGAUGAUUGACGCUGAGGUGCGAAAGUGUGGGGAUCAAACAGGAUUAGAAACCCGGGUAGUCC